GUACUGAUGAAGAGUCUCAAACUAGGACGAAACAGCCGUCCAGUAC
rnacentral:hammerhead_ribozyme from 1 species